rnacentral:rRNA from 1 species
CUGGCUCAGGACGAACGCUGGCGGCGUGCCUAAUACAUGCAAGUAGAACGCUGAAGAGAGGAGCUUGCUCUUCUUGGAUGAGUUGCGAACGGGUGAGUAACGCGUAGGUAACCUGCCUUGUAGCGGGGGAUAACUAUUGGAAACGAUAGCUAAUACCGCAUAACAAUGGAUGACACAUGUCAUUUAUUUGAAAGGGGCAAUUGCUCCACUACAAGAUGGACCUGCGUUGUAUUAGCUAGUAGGUGAGGUAACGGCUCACCUAGGCGACGAUACAUAGCCGACCUGAGAGGGUGAUCGGCCACACUGGGACUGAGACACGGCCCAGACUCCUACGGGAGGCAGCAGUAGGGAAUCUUCGGCAAUGGGGGCAACCCUGACCGAGCAACGCCGCGUGAGUGAAGAAGGUUUUCGGAUCGUAAAGCUCUGUUGUAAGUCAAGAACGAGUGUGAGAGUGGAAAGUUCACACUGUGACGGUAGCUUACCAGAAAGGGACGGCUAACUACGUGCCAGCAGCCGCGGUAAUACGUAGGUCCCGAGCGUUGUCCGGAUUUAUUGGGCGUAAAGCGAGCGCAGGCGGUUUGAUAAGUCUGAAGUUAAAGGCUGUGGCUCAACCAUAGUUCGCUUUGGAAACUGUCAAACUUGAGUGCAGAAGGGGAGAGUGGAAUUCCAUGUGUAGCGGUGAAAUGCGUAGAUAUAUGGAGGAACACCGGUGGCGAAAGCGGCUCUCUGGUCUGUAACUGACGCUGAGGCUCGAAAGCGUGGGGAGCGAACAGGAUUAGAUACCCUGGUAGUCCACGCCGUAAACGAUGAGUGCUAGGUGUUGGAUCCUUUCCGGGAUUCAGUGCCGCAGCUAACGCAUUAAGCACUCCGCCUGGGGAGUACGACCGCAAGGUUGAAACUCAAAGGAAUUGACGGGGGCCCGCACAAGCGGUGGAGCAUGUGGUUUAAUUCGAAGCAACGCGAAGAACCUUACCAGGUCUUGACAUCCCGAUGCUAUUUCUAGAGAUAGAAAGUUACUUCGGUACAUCGGUGACAGGUGGUGCAUGGUUGUCGUCAGCUCGUGUCGUGAGAUGUUGGGUUAAGUCCCGCAACGAGCGCAACCCCUAUUGUUAGUUGCCAUCAUUCUGUUGGGCACUCUAGCGAGACUGCCGGUAAUAAACCGGAGGAAGGUGGGGAUGACGUCAAAUCAUCAUGCCCCUUAUGACCUGGGCUACACACGUGCUACAAUGGUUGGUACAACGAGUUGCGAGUCGGUGACGGCAAGCUAAUCUCUUAAAGCCAAUCUCAGUUCGGAUUGUAGGCUGCAACUCGCCUACAUGAAGUCGGAAUCGCUAGUAAUCGCGGAUCAGCACGCCGCGGUGAAUACGUUCCCGGGCCUUGUACACACCGCCCGUCACACCACGAGAGUUUGUAUCACCCGAAGUCGGUGAGGUAACCUUUUGGAGCCAGCCGCCUAAGGUGGGAUAGAUGAUUGGGGUG